AUGUGGUAUCUUUCUAAGGGAGUUGUGUUAACCAAAGACAACCUUGUAUAAUGCAACUGGCAAGAGAGUAAGAAGUGUUGUUUUUGUACUCAUGACGAGACAAUCGAACACUUCUCUUUUGAAUGCAAGUUUGCAUGUUCUACAUGGUCAGUCAUCCAAAUAGCGUCAAAUUUGUAAUCAACUGUUUCCAAUAUUUUUAGUCAUUGGUUGGAUGGUAUUUCAAAUAGGUUCAAAAUGUUACUAAGGAUGGGAGCGUAUGUCUUAAUUUGGUUGCUUUGA
rnacentral:rRNA from 1 species